AGUGAACGCUGGCGGUAGGCCUAACACAUGCAAGUCGAACGGCAGCACAGUAAGAGCUUGCUCUUACGGGUGGCGAGUGGCGGACGGGUGAGGAAUACAUCGGAAUCUACUUUUUCGUGGGGGAGAACGUAGGGAAACUUACGCUAAUACCGCAUACGACCUACGGGUGAAAGCAGGGGAUCUUCGGACCUUGCGCGAUUGAAUGAGCCGAUGUCGGAUUAGCUAGUUGGCGGGGUAAAGGCCCACCAAGGCGACGAUCCGUAGCUGGUCUGAGAGGAUGAUCAGCCACACUGGAACUGAGACACGGUCCAGACUCCUACGGGAGGCAGCAGUGGGGAAUAUUGGACAAUGGGCGAAAGCCUGAUCCAGCCAUACCGCGUGGGUGAAGAAGGCCUUCGGGUUGUAAAGCCCUUUUGUUGGGAAAGAAAAGCAGCAGGUUAAUACCCCGCUGUUCUGACGGUACCAAAAGAAUAAGCACCGGCUAACUUCGUG
rnacentral:rRNA from 1 species